AGACCCGAAACCCGGUGAUCUAGCCAUGGGCAGGUUGAAGGUUGGGUAACACUAACUGGAGGACCGAACCGACUAAUGUUGAAAAAUUAGCGGAUGACCUGUGGCUGGGGGUGAAAGGCCAAUCAAACCGGGAGAUAGCUGGUUCUCCCCGAAAGCUAUUUAGGUAGCGCCUCGUGAAUUCAUCUCCGGGGGUAGAGCACUGUUUCGGCUAGGGGGCCAUCCCGGCUUACCAACCCGAUGCAAACUGCGAAUACCGGAGAAUGUUAUCACGGGAGACACACGGCGGGUGCUAACGUCCGUCGUGAAGAGGGAAACAACCCAGACCGCCAGCUAAGGUCCCAAAGUCAUGGUUAAGUGGGAAACGAUGUGGGAAGGCCCAGACAGCCAGGAUGUUGGCUUAGAAGCAGCCAUCAUUUAAAGAAAGCGUAAUAGCUCACUGGUCGAGUCGGCCUGCGCGGAAGAUGUAACGGGGCUAAACCAUGCACCGAAGCUGCGGCAGCGACGCUUAUGCGUUGUUGGGUAGGGGAGCGUUCUGUAAGCCUGUGAAGGUGUGUCGUGAGGCAUGCUGGAGGUAUCAGAAGUGCGAAUGCUGACAUAAGUAACGAUAAAGCGGGUGAAAAGCCCGCUCGCCGGAAGACCAAGGGUUCCUGUCCAACGUUAAUCGGGGCAGGGUGAGUCGACCCCUAAGGCGAGGCCGAAAGGCGUAGUCGAUGGGAAACGGGUUAAUAUUCCCGUACUUGGUGUUACUGCGAAGGGGGGACGGAGAAGGCUAUGUUGGCCGGGCGACGGUUGUCCCGGUUUAAGCGUGUAGGUGUGUGUUCCAGGUAAAUCCGGUUCACUUUAACACUGAGGCGUGAUGACGAGGCACUACGGUGCUGAAGUAACAAAUGCCCUGCUUCCAGGAAAAGCCUCUAAGCAUCAGGUAACAUCAAAUCGUACCCCAAACCGACACAGGUGGUCAGGUAGAGAAUACCAAGGCGCUUGAGAGAACUCGGGUGAAGGAACUAGGCAAAAUGGUGCCGUAACUUCGGGAGAAGGCACGCUGACACGUAGGUGAAGUGAUUUACUCACG
rnacentral:rRNA from 1 species